rnacentral:rRNA from 1 species
GGGANUGGAGAGCUUGCUUUCCNUGAGAGUGGCGUACGGGUGCGUAACGCGUAUGCAACCUACCUUCAUCAGGGGGAUAGCCCGAAGAAAUUCGGAUUAACACCGCAUAAAAACACAACCUGGCAUCAGGAAAUGUUCAAAUAUUUAUAGGAUGAAGAUGGGCAUGCGUGUCAUUAGCUAGUUGGUAAGGUAACGGCUUACCAAGGCGACGAUGACUAGGGGAUCUGAGAGGAUGACCCCCCACACUGGUACUGAGACACGGACCAGACUCCUACGGGAGGCAGCAGUAAGGAAUAUUGGUCAAUGGAGGCAACUCUGAACCAGCCAUGCCGCGUGCAGGAAGACAGCCCUAUGGGUCGUAAACUGCUUUUAUACGGGAAUAAACCUUGGUUCGUGAAUCAAGCUGAAUGUACCGUAAGAAUAAGGAUCGGCUAACUCCGUGCCAGCAGCCGCGGUAAUACGGAGGAUCCAAGCGUUAUCCGGAUUUAUUGGGUUUAAAGGGAGCGUAGGCGGCUUGUUAAGUCAGGGGUGAAAGACGGUGGCUCAACCAUCGCAGUGCCUUUGAUACUGACGAGCUUGAAUAUAGUUGAGGUAGGCGGAAUGUGACAAGUAGCGGUGAAAUGCAUAGAUAUGUCACAGAACACCGAUUGCGAAGGCAGCUUACUAAGCUAUUAUUGACGCUGAGGCUCGAAAGCGUGGGGAUCAAACAGGAUUAGAUACCCUGGUAGUCCACGCCCUAAACGAUGAUAACUCGAUGUUGGCGAUAUACAGUCAGCGUCCAAGCGAAAGCGUUAAGUUAUCCACCUGGGGAGUACGCCCGCAAGGGUGAAACUCAAAGGAAUUGACGGGGGCCCGCACAAGCGGANGANCAUGUGGUUUAAUUCGAUGAUACGCGAGGAACCUUACCCGGGNUUGAAAGUUACUGAANAAUUUAGAGAUAGAUUCGUCCUUCNGGACAGGAAACUNGNUGCUGCAUGGCU